rnacentral:rRNA from 1 species
UACGUAGGGUGCGAGCGUUGUCCGGAAUUAUUGGGCGUAAAGGGCGCGUAGGCGGUCUUGUAAGUCUCGUGUGAAAUCCCUCGGCUUAACUGAGGAACUGCACGGGAUACUGCAUGACUUGAGAUCGGGAGAGGGAAGCGGAAUUCCGGGUGUAGCGGUGAAAUGCGUAGAUAUCCGGAGGAACACCGGUGGCGAAGGCGGCUUCCUGGACCGACACUGACGCUGAGGCGCGAAAGCGUAGGGGAGCAAAACGGG